AUAUUAUUAUCUAGCCACUAUGCUAUACACGUGAGUGAAACUAAUACAAAAUAAGAUUGAAUGUAAACUAUAAUUGAAAAAAAAUCUUUUUAAAAUUUACAU